GGGUUCCCCGCUCUGACCGCCCUGAGCUACGAACCACAUGCCCGGCCAUUCUGAAUUCAAUACGAGUUUGGAACGCAACGGCUCAUAAAUACGCCCUCACGCACCCCGUCUCACCUCUGACACUGUACCUCCGAAAUAAAGCCUUUCCCCCGGGCAUGGCCCCGCAGGAUUUCCGCGGCCUUGAGGACGCAGGCCUGCAGC